GAUGAAGAACGUAGCGAAAUGCGAUACUUGGUGUGAAUUGCAGAAUCCCGUGAACCAUCGAGUCUUUGAACGCAAGUUGCGCCCGAAGCCAUUAGGCCGAGGGCACGCCUGCCUGGGCGUCACACGUCGUUGCCCCCCCAUCUACUCCUUCGGGAUUGCGGGGGGCGGAUGAUGGCCUCCCGUGCGCCUCGUCGCGCGGUUGGCAUAAAUGCCAAGUCCUCGGCGACGCACGCCACGACAAUCGGUGGUUGCGAAACCUCGGUUGCCCGUCGUGUGCCGUCGUCGCGCAUCGAGGGCUCGAAAAAAUUGCCGGGCUCCGGCUCGGCUUUCAACGCGACCCCAGGUCAGGCGGGGUUACCCGCUGAAUUUAAGCAUAUCAAUAAGCGGAGGA
rnacentral:misc_RNA from 1 species